rnacentral:rRNA from 1 species
GACAUAGGUGGCAAGCGUUACUCGGAAUUACUAGGCGUAAAGCGCGUGCAGGCGGAUGCUUAAGUCCGUAGUUUAAUCUCCCGGCUCAACCGGGAAAGGUCUGCGGAUACUGGGCGUCUGGAGUGGGACAGAGGAAGCUGGAAUUCCCGGUGUAGCGGUGAAAUGCGUAGAUAUCGGGAAGAACACCGGCGGCGAAGGCGGGCUUCUGGGUCCUCACUGACGCUGAGACGCGAAAGCUAGGGGAGCAAACAGG